UGAUCUGUUCAGGAAGGGAAGAGAGGAACACUAUCAUCAGGAACUGUUCCAGUACUCCAAAUUAUCCACCUCAGAAUGACAGCUCCCCUUUCUCCCAGCAAUUCCAAAAAGCUGCUCUCCAUGCAAUGCUUCCGAGCAGCAGCUGGGAACCCCAAUCAGGGAUGAGCAUCCACUGAGAGCCUAAAGCCUGCAUCCUGGUGGGACUCACUCUGGUGUCUGCUUGUUCAACGUUCAGAGCGGCAGCAAGAUCACGUGCUGACUCAGUCACAUUCCCCCUCAUCUACUUUCUGCUCCAUCCCUUUUUUCUCAGAAGUUCUGGUGCUUUUAUGGCUUCGA